AUGUCUCCGGUGAGAGUAAUCCACGCGAGCUACGUCGACGUGCCGGCAACCGCCAUGGUGUCACCAGAGCCGAUCAAGCUCACGGCGAUGGAGGCGCAGUGGGUCGUCGUCCCGGUGCUGCAGCACGUCCUGCUGUACGAGGGCGAAGACUUGCCGCACUUCAACGACGUUCUCCAGUCCCUCAGCUCCUCCGCCGCGACUCUGCGCAGCUUCGCCCCACUGGCCGGCAAGCUCGUACACCUCGAAGGCACGGGCGACGUUGCUAUUGUCUGCUCCUCCUCGGACGGCGUCGGUUUCAUCGUCGCAGAGUCCGACGCCGACAUCCACCGCCUCGCCGGCGACGAGGAGCACGACGUGCGCGUGCUCCAGCGGCUCGCGCCGGAGGUGGACAUGGGCGAGCUGCCGACCCCCGUCCUGGCCGUGCAGGCCACGCGCUUCGAGGGAGGCGUGGCGGUCGGGGUGACGGUGCACCACGGCGUCGCCGACGGGUGGUCGCUGUGGACGUUCGUCGAGGCGUGGGCGACGGCGUGCCGAGGCGAGACGCGGGCGGCGACACCGUGCUUCGACCGCUCGCUCGUCAAGCUGCCUGGUGGCCAAGAGCUGGCCAGGAGCUUCUUGAGAAAGUACGCGCCAAAUCUACCAAAGGUAUGUUCAUUGGCGCCGCUCUUAGAGGACCAUGCACGGUUGACGCGCCGGACGUUCACCUUGGACGCGCGGAACAUCCAGCGCCUCAAAGAGCGCAUCGUGCGUCUCGGCGAAGCCCACGGCGCGGCGCCGCCGUCCACCUUCAUCGCGGUCGUCGCGCUCGCCUGGACGUGCUUCGCCCGGUGCAAGCCGUUCGCCUCGGACGACGACGUGAUGGUCGGCUUCCUCGCGGAUGCCCGGCACUGCCUCGAGCCUCCCGUCGACGCGGGAUACUUCGGCGCGUGCCUCACCGGAUGCAUCGCGAGCCUCCCCGCGCGCGAGCUCCGCGACGAGCAUGCCCUGGCGGCCGCGGCGCGUGCGGUGCAGGAGGAGGUCCGCAAGAAGACGGAGGACCCGAUGGCCGGGUGCAAUUUCCUGGCACCAGCGUUCACGGUCGCCUUGGAACGGCUGAUGAACGUGUCUGGCGCGUCGAGCUUCCGGGCCUACGAGCUGGCGGACUUCGGGUGGGGCAGGCCGAGGCGGACGGAGAAUACCAGGAUGAACCGUGACGGCCAGGUGGCGCUGAUGCGCGCCAGGGACGGGCUGGGAGUGCAGGUAUCGGUCUCGCUGCUCGAACCGGCGCAAAUGGCCGAGUUCAAGUCUCAGUUGCUCGAGUUAGUCGGUUAA
rnacentral:rRNA from 1 species